rnacentral:rRNA from 1 species
AUGCCGUCGUGGCUGAGCAAGUCAGUGGAUCUAGACGACAUCACAAUGGCCAAGAAGCAAAAAUCGGAUCCACCUUCUAGCCUGGCCAAAAAACAAAGAAGAUUCAAGAUUCAGAUCGACCAAGUCGAUGCCUCCCAAGACGUUGGAUAUCGGCAAACUCUUAGCCGUUUUGCUGAGCCUAAGCGACACGCAAUGGGCGGGAAGUCAUAUGGCCCUACAGAUGUAGAGCAACGUAUGGCUGCCAUGAAGGGCGAGCUUGAUCAGGCUCGUGCCGAGGUGCAGGGCCUUAAGGAGAAGGCGAAGGAGGACGCCGACCUGCUCCGCCAUGAGCAAAAAAUGCUCAAGGCUGCCCAAUCAACGGUGGGCGUGGUCGAGGAGGACCUCACGAAUUGCGUCAAAGAUCGUGAUUCGUUGAAGGCCAAGAAGGACGCUGCUGAUGCUGAAGCAAAGUGGCUCACCCGGGACCUUCAAGAGGCCAAGUUUCUGUUGGGAAACGUAGUAGAAAAACAGAAAAUUUCGCCCUAUGAUCACCCAGGAACAAUAUGA